GACGAACGCUGGCGGCGUGCUUAACACAUGCAAGUCGAACGGUGAAGCGCCUUCCUUUUUGGUGGGUGUGGAUGAGUGGCGAACGGGUGAGUAACACGUGAGUAACCUGCCCCCUUCUUCUGGAUAACCGCAUGAAAGUGUGGCUAAUACGGGAUAUUCUGGGUCUGUCGCAUGAUGGGUCUGGGAAAGAUAUUGUUUCGGUGGGGGAUGGGCUCGCGGCCUAUCAGCUUGUUGGUGGGGUGAUGGCCUACCAAGGCGGUGACGGGUAGCCGGCCUGAGAGGGUGGACGGUCACACUGGGAGUGAGACACGGCCCAGACUCCUAUGGGAGGCAGCAGGGGGGAAUAUUGAACAAUGGGCGCAAGCCUGAUGCAGCGACGCCGCGUGAGGGAUGGAGGCCUUCGGGUUGUGAACCUCUUUCGCCAGUGAAGCAGGACUGCCUCGUUUGUGGGUGGGUUGACGGUAGCUGGAGAAGAAGCGCCGGCUAACUACGUG
rnacentral:rRNA from 1 species